rnacentral:lncRNA from 1 species
GAUUAGUCGACUAAUCAUAAAAAAUAAUCGGUGAUUAGUCGACUAUAAAAAUAAUCGUUUGUGGCAGCCCUACUCUCAUGAUGCUCUGUUGAUCCCAAUGUUCUAUGUACAUAAAACAAACUUUUCUUGUACUUUUAUUCGUUUGUAUCUCUAAAUAUACAGUAGAUAUCACGUUGUCAGUGCUUAAAAACAUACUGAUCAAUGGCACAAUUGAUUUUAGAAAGUCUAAUUAGUCCUGUUUAAUUGGAUGAAGUGUGGCACAUAAAAAAAAUAAACCACUACCACUAUGGACGUGUGACUCGGUUCUCUCUCUGGGCCUCCACAGGAGCGGCAGAUGCUGCUGGUGAGUGAUAUACUUGUCCAUGACAGCAAAUCAAGUGCCUGCCUUAAUGAUGAGCAGAAAUCCAUGCUGGCCAACUUCAAUCACAGAGGAGCCAACAUUACUCAGCGCAGGACCAGGAGGUUAUCAGUGAUCGAUGAGUCCUCGUUUCUGUCUCAUUCGGACAUCAGCUACGACCGAACUGAUGAUGACCUGGACUUGGAGAGUUCGGCAGUGGUGAAGCCUCUGAAGUCGAGAGCUCGUGAGAAAAGACGUUCCUCCAUGGGGCCUAACGUUGGUGUUCAGAUGCAGAAGCGUGGUCGUGGACGUUCUGGGGACCUCCUUGCUGGACGGCAAAUGGAAAAGGUGAAGAUGUCUUAUCGAUUUGAAAUUGACCCAAAAAAACUACACCUGAUCCCAAGACUGACCUCAAUACCAAAUAAAACCACCUACACACCUAAGCCUGAC